UUAAGCAUAUCAAUAAGCGGAGGAAAAGAAACCAACAGGGAUUGCCCUAGUAACGGCGAGUGAAGCGGCAACAGCUCAAAUUUGAAAUCUGGCUUCGGCCCGAGUUGUAAUUUGCAGAGGAAGCUUUAGGCGCGGCACUUUCUGAGUCCCCUGGAACGGGGCGCCAUAGAGGGUGAGAGCCCCGUAUAGUUAGAUGCCUAGCCUGUGUAAAGCUCCUUCGACGAGUCGAGUAGUUUGGGAAUGCUGCUCAAAAUGGGAGGUAAAUUUCUUCUAAAGCUAAAUACCGGCCAGAGACCGAUAGCGCACAAGUAGAGUGAUCGAAAGAUGAAAAGCACUUUGAAAAGAGGGUUAAAUAGCACGUGAAAUUGUUGAAAGGGAAGCGCUUGUGACCAGACUUGCGCCGGGCAGAUCAUCCGGUGUUCUCACCGGUGCACUCUGCCCGGCUCAGGCCAGCAUCGGUUCUCGCGGGGGGAUAAAGGCCCUGGGAACGUAGCUCCUCCGGGAGUGUUAUAGCCCGGGGCGUAAUGCCCUCGCGGGGACCGAGGUUCGCGCAUCUGCAAGGAUGCUGGCGUAAUGGUCAUCAGCGACCCGUCUUGAAACACGGACCAAGGAGUCAAGGUUUUGCGCGAGUGUUUGGGUGUAAAACCCGCACGCGUAAUGAAAGUGAACGUAGGUGAGAGCUUCGGCGCAUCAUCGACCGAUCCUGAUGUUUUCGGAUGGAUUUGAGUAGGAGCGUUAAGCCUUGGACCCGAAAGAUGGUGAACUAUGCUUGGAUAGGGUGAAGCCAGAGGAAACUCUGGUGGAGGCUCGCAGCGGUUCUGACGUGCAAAUCGAUCGUCAAAUCUGAGCAUGGGGGCGAAAGACUAAUCGAACCAUCUAGUAGCUGGUUACCGCCGAAGUU
rnacentral:rRNA from 1 species